UCCCUCUCAGGGUCGCACCUGGAGAGUUUCCCGUAUUCUAUCAGUCUCGACUGUGGGAGGGAGAGUCAAGCAGAGGCAUACCCAUUCCAUUCCUAGCUUGGCAGUGGCUGGAGAGUGGAAAGCAAUCAGCUACAAGU
rfam:Ornithorhynchus anatinus chromosome 3, whole genome shotgun sequence.